UACGUAGGGUCCGAGCGUUGUCCGGAAUUACUGGGCGUAAAGAGCUCGUAGGUGGUUUGUCGCGUUGUUCGUGAAAACUCACAGCUCAACUGUGGGCGUGCGGGCGAUACGGGCAGACUUGAGUACUGCAGGGGAGAUUGGAAUUCCUGAUGUAGCGGUGGAAUGCGCAGAUAUCAGGAGGAACACCGAUGGCGAAGGCAGUUCUCUGGGCCGUAACUGACGCUGAGGAGCGAAAGCGUGGGGAGCGAACAGG
rnacentral:rRNA from 1 species